rnacentral:rRNA from 1 species
AAAUUGAAGAGUUUGAUCAUGGCUCAGAUUGAACGCUGGCGGCAGGCCUAACACAUGCAAGUCGAGCGGUAGCACAGAGAGCUUGCUCUCGGGUGACGAGCGGCGGACGGGUGAGUAAUGUCUGGGAAACUGCCUGAUGGAGGGGGAUAACUACUGGAAACGGUAGCUAAUACCGCAUAACGUCGCAAGACCAAAGUGGGGGACCUUCGGGCCUCAUGCCAUCAGAUGUGCCCAGAUGGGAUUAGCUUGUAGGUGAGGUAACGGCUCACCUAGGCGACGAUCCCUAGCUGGUCUGAGAGGAUGACCAGCCACACUGGAACUGAGACACGGUCCAGACUCCUACGGGAGGCAGCAGUGGGGAAUAUUGCACAAUGGGCGCAAGCCUGAUG